rnacentral:rRNA from 1 species
AGUAUUUUGACUAUACAAAGGUAUUGUAAUAAGAUUUUAAUUGAAUGCUAAAAGAAAGGAAAUUUAAAAAAAAACUUUUUUAAAAAUAAAAAUUGAAUUUUUUUUAAUUUGUGCAAAAACAAUUAUACUUAUUAAAGACAAGAAGACCCUAAGAAUUUAAGAUUUUACAAUUAAAAAGUUUUUUUUUUAAAAUCUUGAUUGGGGCGAUCAAAAAAUAUUAAUAACUUUUUAAAAUUUAAAUUGAUCUAUUAUUAAUAAACUAAUGAAUUAAAUACUCUAGGGAUAACAGCGUAAUAAUUUUUGAUAGAUCUUAUUGACAAAAUAGUUUGCGACCUCGAUGUUGGAUUAGGAUUCUUUUUUAAUGAAGAAGUUAAAAAAAGAAGUUUGUUCAACUUUUAAAUUCCU